GUUGUUUACAAGCACCUAGAAUAAUCCCUGGUGUUGUAUGUCAUUGGCACAGUGUCAGCUUGUGAUGUUUGUGAAACACUGAGCUUGAAACUCAGGACCCUGAAUAUCUGUACUGGAAUUUUACAUUCUCG